rnacentral:misc_RNA from 1 species
GAUGAAGAAGGCAGCGAAAUGCGAUAAGUAGUGUGAAUUGCAGAAUUCAGUGAAUCAUCGAAUCUUUGAACGCACAUUGCGCCCCUUGGUAUUCCAUGGGGCAUGCCUGUUCGAGCGUCAUUUGUACCUUCAAGCUCUGCUUGGUGUUGGGUGUUUGUCUCGCCUCUGCGUGUAGACUCGCCUCAAAACAAUUGGCAGCCGGCGUAUUGAUUUCGGAGCGCAGUACAUCUCGCGCUUUGCACUCAUAACGACGACGUCCAAAAGUACAUUUUUACACUCUUGACCUCGGAUCAGGUAGGGAUACCCGCUGAACUUAAGCAUAUCAAUAAGCGGAGGA